ACGCAGCGUGAGGUGAGAAGGUUUUCGGAUCGUAAAACUCAGUGGUUAAGAGAACAGGAUGAGAAGUAACUGCUCCAUCCCCUGCGGUAUUUAACAGAUAGGCACGCGUAACUACGUGCCAGCAGCCGCCGUAUACGUAGAUGGCAAGCGUUGUCCGGAUUUAUGGGCGUAAAGCGAGCGCAGGCGGUUCUUUAAGUCUGAUGUGAAGCCCCCGGCUCAACCGGGAGGGUCAUUGGAAACUGGAGAACUUGAGUGCAGAAGAGGAGAGUGGAAUUCCACGUGUAGCGGUGAAAUGCGUAGAUAUGUGGAGGAACACCAGUGGCGAAGGCGACUCUCUGGUCUGUAACUGACGCUGAGGCUCGAAAGCGUGGGGAGCAAACAGGAUUAGAUACCUUGGUAGUCCACGCCGUAAACGAUGAGUGCUAAGUGUUGGAGGGUUUCCGCCCUUCAGUGCUGCAGCUAACGCAUUAAGCACUCCGCCUGGGGAGUACGGCCGCAAGGCUGAAACUCAAAGGAAUUGACGGGGACCCGCACAAGCGGUGGAGCAUGUGGUUUAAUUCGAAGCAACGCGAAGAACCUUACCAGGUCUUGACAUCCUUUGACCACUCUAGAGAUAGAGCUUUCCCUUCGGGGACAAAGUGACAGGUGGUGCAUGGUUGUCGUCAGCUCGUGUCGUGAGAUGUUGGGUUAAGUCCCGCAACGAGCGCAACCCUUAUUACUAGUUGCCAGCAUUUAGUUGGGCACUCUAGUGAGACUGCCGGUGACAAACCGGAGGAAGGUGGGGAUGACGUCAAAUCAUCAUGCCCCUUAUGACCUGGGCUACACACGUGCUACAAUGGAUGGUACAACGAGUCGCAAGGUCGCGAGGCCAAGCUAAUCUCUUAAAGCCAUUCUCAGUUCGGAUUGUAGGCUGCAACUCGCAUACAUGAAGCCGGAAUCGCUAGUAAUCGCGGAUCAGAACGCCGCGGUGAAUACGUUCCCGGGUCUUGUACACACCGCCCGUCACACCACGAGAGUUUGUAACACCCGAAGCCGGUGAGGUAACCUUUUUUAGGAGCCAAGCCCGUUUAG
rnacentral:rRNA from 2 species